AGCGAACGCUGGCGGCAGGCUUAACACAUGCAAGUCGAGCGGGCGUAGCAAUACGUCAGCGGCAGACGGGUGAGUAACGCGUGGGAACGUACCUUUUGGUUCGGAACAACACAGGGAAACUUGUGCUAAUACCGGAUAAGCCCUUACGGGGAAAGAUUUAUCGCCGAAAGAUCGGCCCGCGUCUGAUUAGCUAGUUGGUAGGGUAAUGGCCUACCAAGGCGACGAUCAGUAGCUGGUCUGGGAGGAUGAUCAGCCACAUUGGGACUGAGACACGGCCCAAAGUCCUACGGGAGGCAGCAGUGGGGAAUAUUGGACAAUGGGGGCAACCCUGAUCCAGCCAUGCCGCGUGAGUGAUGAAGGCCCUAGGGUUGUAAAGCUCUUUUGUGCGGGAAGAUAAUGACGGUACCGCAAGAAUAAGCCCCGGCUAACUUCGUGCCAGCAGCCGCCGCGG
rnacentral:rRNA from 1 species